GGUCACAUGACUCUCUGUGACUUCCGUAAUCCAGGACGCGUCCAUCUUUGCGCGUGCGUUCCGUAAUACGGAAGCCGCGAGGAGCCGUUGUUCCCUUUCGCCCCUUGUCAGCCCGAGAUGAAGAGUCCUACUUUUACUGCCGCCUGCUGGACACCCACCGCGUUGCGCCGCGCUCUCCCGUUCGUUUCUGUCCCGUUGGGGGAAAAGGAUGGCUUCUUAGACGUCGCCCUUGGACAGGAUUCGAGUCAUCAGGAGAUGUCAGAUAGUUUCUGCCUCUGGGCGUCUCUCAUCAAACGGUUUACUGAUCCCUGUUCGUGCCUCACAGGUCUCCACAGACUCCACAAGCUACCUAACUCUCUGAUCUUCCCCUGGCAGCAGCGGCUGUCGCUUCUUCCGGGAAGGCUUCCCUGACCUUCCUCAAAGUAAGGGACCUCCUCUGGGAUCCAAGGCUGACGUCUCCCUCCAGCAAGGCUGUGAGACCUUCGAAGGCGGGGUCUGUAUCUUAUGGGUCCUCAGAGCCCUGGACGGGGUCUGGUCCAGGGGGAUUCUUUUAACAAGUCCCUUUACAAUUUACGGAGUCUGUACUAUACGUUGAACCCUGUAUGUGGCGCGGCAGCUUUAUCAGUGAAUGAGAUGCAGGCCCUGCCCUACUGGAGUCCACAGUUUGGGGAGCUAGAAAGGUAACAACACUAGCGGUAAGUGUUAUUGAGGAUUCAGAAAUGAUGAUGUGUCUUUGAAUUAGGGAUGGAUGGAGGGGUAACCGGUGGCCUUAUUUGCAGGGACAGGUAGUUAGGGAAGGACACCGAGGAGGUGACAUUUGAGCCAAGGCCAGAAGGCCAAGAAAGUCCCCAUAUGUGAAGAUUUGGGGAGGCCAUUCCCCCAUCGUCCCCCCGUUGGUAAAGAAACCUUUGCCAGUGCAAAGGUCCUGAGGCCAGAGAUUAGCCUACUUAAUUGGAAGAAGAGACCAUCUUUGACAGUCUCCACUUGGAUCUCAAACUCACCCCCUCAGUCCCUCUCCUCCUAACUCUGAUCUCCCUGAAGUCUUCCACACCUCAACAAAGAGCCCUCAACUCAGCAAAGGAGCGCUCCACACACCUGAUGUCCAGCAAGGUGGCCAUUGGCAGUGACAUCGGGCAGGCCCGCCGGGCCGUGGAGCAGCUGCGGGUGGAGGCGGGCAUCGACCGCAUGAAGGCCCCCAGUGAGUGUUUGAUGCCUGUGAUCUGAGACCUGUGGCCCACGUCAAAGGACUGCAGAAAAGAGGAACAGGUGACACUCAGGUAAGGGCUCUCCCAACGCCAGCCCGACAACCACCCAGGGGUCGAGAGGUAGGGAGGAGGCCCAGGGACGGUUGGGCAAGGGGCAAGAGCCCCGGCAGACCCGGACGAGUUGGAAGCAGCCACUGUGGUUGGCGAAGACGUGCAGCAGGCCCUGGUUGUCACCAGCCCAGAGCUGGGGCUCCCGGUAGGACAUGCAGAGCAGGUAGGAAUCCAGCUGUGGGAGGGACGCGGGACACGGCAGCUCAGGCCAGGCCAGGCCGCAGCCCCCGUCCCUCCCGGCCGCAGGGGAGGGCGCACCUGCAGUCGCUGCAGGACGCUGUUGGCCCGGCGGUCGAACACCACGAGUGUGUGGUCCUCGCUGCCUGAGAUGAUGUGACGGUCGUCUGCCAGCAGCGCCAGCACCGCGCUGGAGUGCAGCCGCCUGCUCUUCAGCAGCGCCGGGCCCGCUUCGCGAGUGAUGCAGGGAGGAGGGAGACGUCAGAGCCCCUCGGAGGGGGCCCCAGGCCGCUCCCCACUCGGCUGAAUCCUUGGUCUGCCCCGCCUACCCGCAUCCUGCAAGUGGUCCCGUCUUUCUCUUCUGUCCCGUCUGGAUCUGGGCCAUCCAGGACCCCCAAGUCUCUGCCCUCCCAUCUCCCAUCGCAACCCCAUCUGCUCGCAGUGCAGAGCAGACCUCGGCAAGUCCCAGCAUAAAACGCUUCCUCCUGCCGACUGAUUGGAGACGAGUCCCACCAUCACCCAUCACCCUGCUCUGGCUGUGCCUGGGCCAAGAGCCCCAGCCCUUCAAGUAAAAGAAGAAUAAAUAGACAGACAACA